ensembl:lncRNA
GUGUGUGUGUGUGUGUGUGUGUGUGAAGCUUCAUUUUCUCAGGACAAGGCAGGAAGUGCCCCAGGUGCAGCUGAAUGAGCACUUCCUGUUGGGAGACGUCAAUUUCCUGCAAAGGACGGCGUGCAGCUGGACGAUAAAAUCACAAUAAUAAACAAAAAACAUCCGAGACAGCCUGAGGCGACCUCGCACAGCAUCAUCAUCAUCAUCAUGAUUAAAAUUAUUAUUGUUAUUGUUGUUCUUAUUAAUCAUAGUAGUAAAGUAUUUUUAUUAUCAUCUUAUUUUAAUUGUCAUUUUAUUUAUUCUGUUUUCUGUGUUUGUUUUAUUUAUUUUUAAAGUUCCUGAAUAUUUAUAUUUAUUUUGUGUUUUUCUCGUGGUUUUAUUGACUUUUUGUCAGUUAUUUUUUAUUUAUUUGUUUUACUUUACGUUAUUUGAUUCAUUAUACAUUUAUAAAUAAUUAUUUUUCUAUUAUUUCUUUAUUGUUAUCUGUUUUAUGUUUUUAAAUGUUUUACUUCUUCUUCUUUCUGUAAAUAUUUGUAUUUAUUUUCAUGAUGACUGAUGAUUAUUGAUCAUUGAUUAUUGGGGGCAUGACCUUCCUGCUGCUGUCUAUAGCUACAGUUAAUUGGCUGUGUUUGGUCAAACUGCUGCUGCUGACAUGAGCAGUGUGCUGCAGGUCAAAGGUCAGACAGGGCUCGCUAAGCUCCUGUGGUCAAACUGAGCCCUGGAAUCUGGAUACCUGAAGACCUCGGCCUGUUGCCACAGUAACCAGCAGGCCCGGGAACCCCCCCUUCCUCCUCCUCGUCUGUGGGAAUCCUCGGUGUUUGUUCCUCUGAGGGAGCGGAGGAAGACGAGGAGGAGGAAGCCCACUAUUUUUAUGAAUAAAGUUUGUGAAUUCAAAUACUCAGCUGUGUUCAUUGUUUGGCUUCCUGUUUGUAGAGUUUACACUCAAACCUGCCUCAGAUGCCUUUAACACCACAGCACACCAGGGCCUGUGGUUUUAUUUUAAAAUCCUUCACUUUUAAAGCUGCAACAGUGUUAGCUCCUUCACAAUAACAGCCUGAAUGUCUGAAGCUCCGUUUUGGUGAAGUUCUUGGACUUUAUUUGGAUGUGUCUGAGUACAGCUCAGAGUCUAUGAGUGACAGCCAUCUUUAAAAUACAGUCUGGACUUUACUUUGAAAUUCUGACCCACAUCACUCCACACUGUGGUUCACACAGAACCUGGUUUAAUUUGAUGUUUUUCAACUCAGUCCUGAAAAAGUUGUGAAACGUUUCAAACAUGAAUAACAGAGAACAUUUUAUUCACAUUAGAACAAAGAAAACUGAGCUUGGUGGCUGAAAAAUGUCUCAGAAAGUUGUAACCAGG